UAGUUGCAGACAAUGGAUUUUUUUUGGGUUUUAAGAUUGGUAUCACCACUGCUUCUUUCCAUUCAUCUGGGCGUCAGAUUCUUCAGCAUCUCGUUUGCUAUCUGGUCAGGUCCAGGUGCUGUGUUCCUGGCCUUUUGUAAAGCAAACUCCAUCUCCAGCAUUGUAAAAGAAAAGGUGGGGGGAUAGUUUCCGGAGCUACUAACUACUGCAAACUGAUUGGCCAAAGCGUUCGCGAUUUCUUCUGGUUUUUCCAAGACUAGGUCUUGUGUUUGUAAUGAAUGUAUCGCCCACAUCAGCAUUUGCAUUGAUAGUUGACGUAUAUUUAAUCCAACUUUGACGCUUACUCUCAAAUACGACUCGUCUGCUUAUUGCUCUCGCUCGUUUGAAGUUGAUAUGGUUUUCAACGGUAGGUUGCCUUUGGUAGAGUCUAAAUGCAACACUCUUGUUUCUGAUGGCUACUUUUACAUCCUGAUUCCACCAUGGAAUGGGUCUCUUCACAGGCUUGUUUCCAGUCUUUGGUAUGCUCUUCAUCG